UAAAGAGCUAGCUGAAAUAUUAAAUUGUGAUUAUCAAAAAGUGUGUAUCAAACGCAGAACAAAUAGAUUAGGUGGACGCGGAUUGUGCCAAACUUAAAAGCAGUGCAAGUGAAUGUUUACUAAAUUUUUGAUAUAGUGGAAAUCAGAAAGAAGCCGAUAAAAAGCUUCAAAAGUGCAUUGUGCAAUAGGAGAAAUGUAAAUAAAACUUUGUGUAUUUGGCGCAACGAUUUUUGUGAACCGAAAAGGAUGCGUCAUUUUCCAGUAGAUUCUAUUUUCAACCGUUUUUAAAUUGUUUUGCUAACAACAGUUUUUGUGUUCGUGUACUUGUGGCGCAUUGUUGAGGUAAACCGAGAAAUUGACGUGAAUAGUAAAGCUCUCCGCCAAACAGGCGCAACACGUCAGAUGGCAUAAAUUAGCAUCGCCUAAAUUGCCCUGAGCGGAUGACUGCAAAUACCAAAACAUCAAUAAACCCGCAUUGAACCCCAAUCCACGAAACUGCAAACACCCGCACAUACAUCGAUGCCUACAUAGACGCAGGCGCCCAGAGCGAUUGUUGAAAGCGGGCAAACGUUUAUCAUGCUGCAUAUUUCGCAUUCAGAAUUUAACAUCACCAUCAGCGGUGCCAAAGUUGAUUACUACGGCGACCUCGUCAGCGGCAGUGUGGCUGGAGUAAGCUUAAAUCGCAUUUGAAAGAGUGGAAUUUUCUCAGUACAAGUGGCAACGUGACGACGUAAAAGCUUCGUUAGCAUCGUAUUUCGGAAAGCGUGCUGAGGACUUAAUCCCUUUACCCAUUCAACAAACACACCUCGCCCCCCGCAUUGUUGCCAUCCAUUGAACCAAAUAUACAUCCGAACCCAAACGCCCACCGUUAUUAUCGCUGCAAGCACAAUUCAGUUUUCCAUUAUACCCAUUUAACCUCUUUUAUUUGAAUUUACUGUUCCAUUCGUCUCGACUUAAGCGCCGUCAUUCGCAUUCGCAGUUUUUCUUAAGGGGAUUUGUUAAAAAAGCUGGCUAUAGCGUUCCCUUUAAAUCAGUCAGCCACUAGAACGUUACAAGCGCAUUGUCCACACAAAAGUGCUCAGCGAAGGAUUGGAAGCGGGGCACUGAGAGCUAGAGAGGAGCUGGUUGUGGUGGCGGUGCAGUUAGCAGCUGGCAGCCAUAAUUUUUUGUUGGUGUAAUAAAAAUCGUCGUACACGUAAUUCGUGUUGCUUAUGUCGGAACAUGCCAAUAGAUAUGCAAAAAAACGUCUCCGUACAAGUUGAUAGUGAUUUUGCUUUACUUCUGCCUAGCGGUGUUUACGAGAUUAAGAAAAUGGAACCACGCUCCAAAAUACGAACAAUUAUUUUAUUCUGCCUAUUUUUGGCAAUUGCUGGUAUUAUUGGAUUCGGAUACUUCUGUCAAGAUCAGUACGCUUGGUAGGCUAACGAAAACAAAUUUUUUAAUAACCACCCUGGUUUGAGGGCAUACAAUUUUGGAAGGGAGGAUUUUGGCCAAAUUAAAACUUCUGUCAUGUCGAAUCCCUGAAAACAGCCAAAAUCGCUUUUUCUUGUUUGUUUAGGACCCGAUUUAGAAGUGCGACUGACUUCGAAAACGUACAGCUGGAAAGCAUUUAUACUUUUUGACUACUUUAUUUAAACUGCAACAGUAUACAUUAUACAAAACCCCAAAAAAUAUAUAUGAUAUUAACUAACUACGUAUGACAUUAGACAUUAGUAAAUAUGCUCGAAAAACAACAAAA